rnacentral:rRNA from 1 species
GGCGGUUUGAUCCUGGCUCAGGACGAACGCUGGCGGCGUGCUUUACACAUGCAAGUCGAACGGUGAACUCGGUGCUUGCACCGGGGGAUCAGUGGCGAACGGGUGAGUAACACGUGAGCAAUCUGCCCCUAACUCUGGGAUAACUGCGGGAAACCGCAGCUAAUACCGGAUACGACCCAGGGAGGCAUCUUCACUGGGUGGAAAGUUUUUCGGUUAGGGAUGAGCUCGCGGCCUAUCAGCUUGUUGGUGGGGUAAUGGCCUACCAAGGCGACGACGGGUAGCCGGCCUGAGAGGGCGACCGGCCACACUGGGACUGAGACACGGCCCAGACUCCUACGGGAGGCAGCAGUGGGGAAUAUUGCGCAAUGGACGAAAGUCUGACGCAGCAACGCCGCGUGGGGGAUGAAGCUUCUCGGAGUGUAAACCCCUUUCGACCCGGACGAAUGCCCGCAAGGGUUUGACGGUACGGGUAUAAGAAGCCCCGGCUAACUACGUGCCAGCAGCCGCGGUAAUAACCUAAAUAGC